rnacentral:rRNA from 1 species
UUCCGUAGGGUGAACCUGCGGAGGGAUCAUUACACAAUAACAAGGCGGGCUGGACACCCCCCGCUGGGCACUGCUUCACGGCGUGCGCGGCGGGGCCGGCCCUGCUGAAUUAUUCACCCGUGUCUUUUGCGUACUUCUUGUUUCCUGGGUGGGCUCGCCCGCCCUCAGGACCAACCACAAACCUUUUGCAAUAGCAAUCAGCGUCAGUAACAACGUAAUUAAUUACAACUUUCAACAACGGAUCUCUUGGUUCUGGCAUCGAUGAAGAACGCAGCGAAAUGCGAUACGUAGUGUGAAUUGCAGAAUUCAGUGAAUCAUCGAAUCUUUGAACGCACAUUGCGCCCUUUGGUAUUCCAAAGGGCAUGCCUGUUCGAGCGUCAUUUGUACCCUCAAGCUUUGCUUGGUGUUGGGCGUCUUUUGUCUCCAGUUCGCUGGAGACUCGCCUUAAAGUCAUUGGCAGCCGGCCUACUGGUUUCGGAGCGCAGCACAAGUCGCGCUCUUUGCCAGCCAAGGUCAGCGUCCAGCAAGCCUUUUUUUCAACCUUUGACCUCGGAUCAGGUAGGGAUACCCGCUGAACUUAAGCAUAUCAAUAAGCGGAGGAA